rnacentral:rRNA from 1 species
UCGGCCUCAGAUUGGUAGGACUACCCGCUGAACUUAAGCAUAUCAAUAAGCGGAGGAAAAGAAACUAACAAGGAUUCCCCUAGUAACGGCGAGUGAAGAGGGAAGAGCCCAAGAUUGAAAGCUGGCGUCUUUGGCGUCCGCAUUGUAAUCUCAAGAAGUGUUUUCCGCUUCGGACCAUGCCUAAGUCCCUUGGAAAAGGGCAUCAUAGAGGGUGAUAAUCCCGUACAUGGCAUGGAGCGCCCGAAGCUUUGUGAUACACUUUCUAAGAGUCGAGUUGUUUGGGAAUGCAGCUCAAAAUGGGUGGUAAAUGCCAUCUAAGGCUAAAUAUUGGGGAGAGACCGAUAGCGAACAAGUACAGUGAUGGAAAGAUGAAAAGAACUUUGAAAAGAGAGUUAAACAGUACGUGAAAUUGCCAAAAGGGAAGGGUAGGAGGUCAGAGAUGCGGUCUGGGAUUCAGCCUUGCUUUUGCUGGGUGUUUUUCUCAGAUUGCAGGCCAACGUCGGUUUUGGGCGCUGGAGAAGGGUGGAAGGAAUGUGGCACCUCUCGGGGUGUGUUAUAGCCUUCUACUGGAUACAGUGACCGAGACCGAGGACAGCAGCGUACUCGCAAGAGCGGGCCUUCGGGCACCUUUACGCUUAGGGCGUUGGCAUAAUGGCCCUCUACCACCCGUCUUGAAACACGGACCAAGGAGUCUAACAUGUAUGCGAGUCUUUGGGUGGCAAACCCAUAGGCGCAAUGAAAGUGAAUUCAGGUGGGAUCCGCAAGGUGCACCAUCGACCGAUCCUCACGUCUUUUUUAAGUCGUGGAUUUGAGUAAGAGCAUACCUGUUGGGACCCGAAAGAUGGUGAACUAUGCCUGAAUAGGGUGAAGCCAGAGGAAACUCUGGUGGAGGCUCGUAGCGGUUCUGACGUGCAAAUCGAUCGUCAAAUUUGGGUAUAGGGGCGAAAGACUAAUCGAACCAUCUAGUAGCUGGUUCC